GAUCAUGGCUCAGGAUGAACGCUAGCGGCAGGCUUAACACAUGCAAGUCGAGGGGCAGCAUAAUGGAUAGCAAUAUCUAUGGUGGCGACCGGCGCACGGGUGCGUAACGCGUAUGCAACCUACCUUUAACAGGGGGGAUAACACUGAGAAAUUGGUACUAAUACCCCAUAAUAUCAUAGAAGGCAUCUUUUAUGGUUGAAAAUUCCGAUGGUUAGAGAUGGGCAUGCGUUAUA
rnacentral:rRNA from 1 species